rnacentral:rRNA from 1 species
CGCGUAGGUGGUAGUGAAAGUCUGGGGUGGAAUCUUAGGGCUUAACCCUAAAAACUGCCUUGGAAACUUCAUUACUUGAGUCAGUGAGGGGAGGGUAGAAUUCCUGGUGUAGCGGUGAAAUGCGUAGAUAUCAGGAGGAAGGCCGGUGGCGAAGGCGGCCCUCUGGCGCUGAACUGACGCUGAGGCGCGAAAGCGUGGGUAGCAAACAGGAUUAGAUACCCUGGUAGUCCACGCCCUAAACGGUGGGUACUAGGUGUAGGGCCCGUAAGGGUUCUGUGCCGAAGGGAAACCAUUAAGUACCCCGCCUGGGGAGUACGGCCGCAAGGUUGAA